rnacentral:rRNA from 1 species
ACGUAGGAGGCAAACGUUAUCCGGAUUUACUGGGCGUAAAGCGCGUGUAGGUGGUUUGGUAAGUAGAGCGUGAAAGCUCCUGGCUCAACUGGGAGAGGUCGUUCUAAACUGCGGAACUAGAGGAUGGUAGAGGGGGAUGGAAUUCCGGGUGUAGCGGUGGAAUGCGCAGAUAUGCGUAGGAAUGCCGGUGACGAAGGUAGUCUCCUGGACAACACCUGACGCUGAGACGCGAAAGCUAGGGUAGCAAACGG